rnacentral:rRNA from 1 species
GUGAGGAAUAUUGCGCAAUGGAGGCAACUCUGACGCAGCCAUGCCGCGUGCAGGAAGAAGGCGCUACGCGUUGUAAACUGCUUUUAACCGGGAAGAAACCCCAGGACGUGUCCUGGGUUGACGGUACCGGAGGAAUAAGCACCGGCUAACUUCGUGCGAGCAGCCGCGGUAAUACGAAGGGUGCAAGCGUUAUCCGGAUUCAUUGGGUUUAAAGGGUGCGUAGGCGGAGCGUUAAGUCAGUGGUGAAAUCCUGCAGCUUAACUGUAGACUUGCCAUUGAUACUGGCGCUCUUGAGUGCGCUUGAAGUGGGCGGAAUGUGCCGUGUAGCGGUGAAAUGCUUAGAUAUGGCACAGAACACCAAUUGCGAAGGCAGCUCACUAAGGCGAUACUGACGCUGAGGCACGAAAGCGUGGGGAUCGAACAGGAUUAGAAACCCCUGUAGUCC